GCAGGAAUUCCUGAGAUUGCUUGGCACCUUGUGGGUUGUGGCUGGUACUGAGGUGAGCGGUUGAAAUGUCCCCCAGGACCAGUCAGCUACCCUCCCAGUUGGGCUGGGUCCCCAAGUGUUCACAGGGCUCUUGGGAGGACCUGGGUGGCCUUGUGCGCCCCGGGGGCUGUGGGUCUACGGGUGCAGGGGCUCCCUGGAGGUCGGGGGCUCUCCCUGGGGCCGGCUGCAGCCCUGCGAUGUGCCCUCCCCUCCCCUCCCUGCACAGGCUGGACACACAGGGACACUUCUUCCCCGGAGGCUUCUCCAGUCCCCAGGAAUCUGUCCCCCACCUGUCAUCAGGAAACUUCAGAAGAUCAGGAAUUUUCUUCUGGAGCUGCAUUUUGCACAGUUUCCUCUUUUUAAGGGAGGAGGCUCGGAGUCUCCGGUCACCACAGCCGAUUUCCCUGAAGCCUCCGCGGGGGGCCACCCCCACAGAGUCUUAUAUGCUAACAGUUCUUAAAUUCGGAGUCCUGUGGGAAGGUGGGAAAGUUAGCGUCCGCUGGGGCAGUUCAACCCUGGCUGCGGGACCAAUCUCCAAGACGUGAGUUGGCACAGCCAUCAGUUCGUCUCCAUGGAUGUCUCCACGGGCAACCUGAGCUCCCACGUGGCAUGGUGAUGGUUCUGAAAGUCGGUGUUCCAGGAGACAGGAAGUGCCAGUUCCUUAAGGCCUGGGCCUGUGGGAGACAAGAGAGACACAGCCACAGAGGACAAGGCCAUAUGAGAUGGAGGCAGAGACUGGAGAGAUGCGGCCACAAGCCAAGGAUGCGUGGGGCCACCAGGAGCUGGGGGAGAGACCCCAUCAACGAACAAAUGCAGACAACUCUUCCUGGAGUUUUGCAUUAAAGACAAGAAGCUGGGGGCACAGCGAGGGGGACAUGAGGUCAAGGCGCUGCUGCUUUGUUAGGUAGGGGAGAUUGCGCAUGUUUGUAUCCUGAUGGGAAUGGACAAGCAGCAGGAGCAUCUGAUGUCACAGCAACCAGGGGGCCACCCCUUAAGGACAGGUGGGCCGGCUUGCCUUGGAGCAUGGGUGCUUGCUCACAGGCUCAGGGCAAGGCACAGAUGCGGGAGGCACAGACGCGGCAGUGGGAGCAGCUGGGUCCAUCUUCUCCCAGCUGUGGACACAGGUGGGAGGCGCGGUGCGUGCUUUCCCUGCAGGCUUCCUGUGCUUUGCCCCAAACCAUCUCCCCAGGUCUGAGUUCCUCUGCUGGUCCAGGAGGGUCUCAGUGCGGUGGGACAAACUCGUUCCAUUGGUGGAUGGAGACACACCCAGUGUGGACAGAGGCUGCAAGCAUCGGAGGGCGUGUCCACGCGGCAGUGUUGGUGUCAUGGCCAUAAGCUUGGCACUUCCUACAGACUCCAGCCUUGCAUUUUCAGCAGCUGGAGCUGUUCACAGCAUCCUUCUCACAGGAGUUUUGGGAGCACAACCAGGUGGGGUAUGCUUGAAAGCCUUAGAGCGAGGACCAGCACACCCACCCUCCUGGUGUCCCAUGCAAAGCUGCUGGAGGGGCUGCUGUGGGCUGAAAUGUGAGCUCUGGGUGGUGCCUGCAGGAGCCCAAGCAGCUCCAGAGGGAGCCCCAUUCCACUUGACCCCUUUUCCUUAUGGCAGAUUCAGCUUCCCUGGGGUGAAAUCGAGGGGCAUUUCCCAGUUCUCUCCAGGAGUAUGAAAUUUCCCUCUUGUUUCUGCCCACCUGAGGGGCUGCACUUGGACCCUGCCAUGGGAAGAGGUCUGUUCCUCUCUGCCUCCUGGGGGACCCCCUCCUUGUGUGAGUCCCCUCUGAAGCCCUGCAGAACCUGGUCUGGGUCCUGAACAGUCCUGCCGAGGCCUGGCCUGUUGGACACAGAUGCUCAAAAUCUACUCAGAGCAUGCUGGCCCCUGUGGAGUGGUUCCUGUUCCUGGGGGGCUGAAGUGAAUGAGGUUGAGUGAUUCCUUUAAACAUUCUUCAUGUGCUGGGCACAGGGCUAGGGGCUCAGGAACCAGGCGUGCAGAACACAUGCACAUUCAUGGCCUCAAAGGCCGAGCUCACCAUAUGUGGACACACAUGGACAAGGGGGUCACUGACCUGGGAAGGCUGUGAGGGGCACUGGUCAGGGCGGGAAGGCCUUCCUAGAGGAAGUGAUGCAGCUGAGUCAGGUGAGAAGAAGUUAAGGAGCACUGUUCCUCUUCUUGGGACCUUGGGCAUGUCUGUGUCCCCACCUGUAGCAGAAUAAGGUGCCAUCUAUGGAUGUGGUGCUGUGUGGUCUCAUGUAGCCCCAUCCACGGCCUGACCUUCCUGAAAUCCAUAAACGCUGAGCUACAGAUGUCACAUGUGUCCAAGAUCACUGGACAGAAUUAGCAUGCCUCAAUGAAAAUGAACUACGUCCCCAAGUAAUGGCACGAUUGCAGUUAAACUUAUGCAACUUCAGAAAUAACGGCAGAUAAAGGGCUAGAGACGUAGAAACCGUGGCUGGCACGAGGGAGGAGCUUAGUGAGCCAUGGGAUGAAGGAAUGUGGUGCCUGCAGGAGCCCGAGUGGCCAGGAGCCCUGCUCUUCCCACCGUGGGACUCCUAUGGCCUCCCCAUCACUCCAGCCUCCUCCUGGGGCUCCUCUAGCCCCUCUAGUUGGGAGAGGUUAUCCCCCAACAGAGACACAAAGUAUCAAAAAGCCAAGCAUGCUUUUGUUUCCUGUUUCCAUCAGGUGUUUCUCUGAUCCGUAAGAGCCUCCUGCCCGUUCAUCCAUCAACAGCCUCUGGGGACACCUUCGGCAGCAGGAAUCACUGGUGUUGGCUUCCUGGUCUCACAUCCCAAACACACUACCUUCGUCCAAGUCCUUGUCUCCACCAGGGCUUACAUUUGGGGUGCCUAGAAAAGGAGAGAGCAUAUAAUCAAUGCCAGGGUUGGAUCUAUGAACACGAGACACAGAAACACCAGCUGGAGGAGCCCAGGAGGCCCAGCAGGUGAGGAUCACUGAGUGCCUGGACCAGGGCUUCAGGGGGUUCCAGCCGAGGCUUUGUGAACCGGAUCCUGGGUCACCGAGUAACCAGACUGGUCUCAGGAGGUUCCAGCUGAGGCUUUGUGAACCGGAUCCUGGGUCACUGAGUACCCGGACCAGGGGUUCAGGAGGUUCCGGCCGAGGCUUUGUGAACUGGAUCCUCCUCUUUGCAUUUCAAACAGCGGGAACCAUCUUAGUCCAUGGGCCACUGAGUGCCCGGACCAGGGCCCCGGGGCUUCCUGACAGCAGGAAGAACAGGAAUCAUUCAAACCCUGGAGCCCAGAGGGCAGGACGGGAGCGGCCUUUUGUCCCCCGCGGGCAGGCCAGGGAGGUGGACAGGCCGGGAGCCUGAAGCCUGAGCAGCCGGAGGCUCGCUCAUUCUCCCAUGGUCACUGUGUUCCUGGAGCCCCAACAGGAGGCCAAUUGUCCCACGGGGCGGUGCCUGGUGGGUGUGGUGUCUUGGCGGCAGCCACUGCCUGGCUGUUCUCAGGAUCCCAAUCCCAGGUGAAGGCUGCAGUCCUCUUGCUGUGUGUGGACGAUUUAGCUCCGUGGGCGGCCACCUUGCCAUGGGGCCACAGCAGCCAUUCCAGAGGCUCCCCCGGUGCCCUCCUCGCUCAGGGUGGGGGUGCUCCCGGGUGUAGCCCAGCUGAGGAGUCUCACUCGCAGGAAAGGUGGCGUGUGAUGGGCUGGAGCCGGCCUGCGAAGUCUGCCUGGUGGCCAUGGCUCAGGGGCCUGUGUCUCCCGGACGCCCCCAGCGGGGCCUCUCUUGAAGGGACUUUGUGCUCCUGCCAGGAGAAAACAGCCCUAACAGCUGCCUCCUGGGCCAUUUCCAAACAUUCGUGUGUCAGGCCAGAGAGCGCCAGUUCGUUGCCCUUUUGGGUGGUUCCAAACGUGUGGAGUUGGGGCCCUGGCAGCUUCGGGCCACCAGCCCUCCUUCACUGAGGCGUUCCUCAUCACCAAGCCUCAGCCAGAGAUGUUCAACUGGAAAAACAAUCACGGACCCCCGUGGGGGAAGCAGCUUCUGGUCUGGGGACAGUCAUGAGCUCUGCAUGCAGCUGCCGGUGUCCCUUCUCGGUGCCUGGCGGGUAUCAGGGCUCACCCUUGGCCUGGCCACACCUACCGCCUCUCAGGCCCACACCUCUUCCCGGAAGACACCUGGAAGCUUCAACACCGGCUCACGUCCUUUCCUGGAAGAAACCUGGAGGCUCUGACGCCGGCCCACACUCCUUCCCGAAGAAACCUGGAGGCUUGGACGCCGGCCCAUACCCAUUUUUGGACACCAGAGUCUUCAAUAUCUGUGGUACCAGCUCCUCAGCUCUCUCUUCCCUCAGCAUCCCACUGACCCGAAAUUCCAGGAGAUCCCAAGAUGGGCCAAACACAAAACAAGAAAACAACAAAAACACCCUCUCCAGAAAGUAGAGAGAGGAGGCUCGGAGUGAAGGUGUGAAGUGCUGUGCCCGGCACCAAGUUCAUCCAGACAGAGCGGCUCCUUCCCAUCUGAAGCUCCCAUUUUCCUACAGAAAUGAGUUCCGACAUGCACUGCACAGCUGCUCUCUCUCCGCUUUGCAAAGGAGGAACUCAUGAUGUCUGAUGAAAAUCCACUCUGCUCUGGUCUGAGCUGGGACAAAUCUUCGUUUGUCCUCUGCCUGUCCAACCCAGCCCUCGCCUGCAGGGCAUCUCAGAGCCCAGCACCUUCCCUGACACUCCGCUGAGCCCGGAGCCACUUGGAGCUCAGGAACAGCAGAGGGAGGGAGGCCACAGGGUCUCAGCACAGAACCAGCAAGUCCGAGGCUGGACAUCUGAGCAGCGGGUGGUUGACAGGGUCCAUGGGCAGACCCUGCGGGCAGAGGACCGGGGUCUCUGCCUCACCCGCUUCCACCGCCCUUGGGUGCACCUGGCCAAGGCCGUCAGCAAACCGAGCCAGGCCUGUGUCCUGGUUCCCUCAUGGGCUCAUGAUCCUCCUGCCACCCUGUGAGAGCACCCCCGUGCAUGCUGCCUGCAGCUCCCAGCCGCAAACGGCAGAGGCCCAGUCCCGUCGUCACACCCUCGUCCCGCCUGGCUUUCAGCGACGUCACCUUUGCCUGGCAACAUUCAGGCGGGGCUGCUCAGGCCUGCUGAUUCCAUCAUUUAAAGACGCCCAUUUCUUCCAAGCCAGGGAUUUUAUGACGCUAAGGAUUAGAAGCUGUUAUCCCAACCAACCCUGGAGCACUCUAUUCUGAUUUGAUGGUAAGCUUCACUAAUAAACUAUUUAAAACAUA